GUCGAGGUGUUCGCUGUGGCAAUUAAAGCGUAUCCUUAGCAUUCGCUACGCCGCUAAAAAAUUACACCAUGACAGGACACAAUGCGUUCUGGACGGGCGAGGACCUCACAGGACAGCUCAAUUUUGUAGCAAAAUAUUUUUGUUGUCCAGAACGAAUCGCAAGUAAAACAGAAAGUCGAAGCUGGACGACUGGGUGUGGGGUUGCCUCCCCGCCGGGAAUGCUGUGUGUGUGUGUACCGACAGCAGCAGCAGGAGCUCAUCAACGCAAUAAUCGUGUCCAUCUCGGGCGUACGAGUAUCCCGAUACCGAUACCGAUCCCGAUCCAUCCUGACAGCAUCUAGGAGAUGAAGCUGUUGCUCCGGGUGCGAAUUGCCCUUUUUGUGCCUUGCCGCCCGUUUCCCAAAGGAGAGGUCGCACAAAAGGUGUGCGCUGCCACCUUGAUAUAUGUGAUAUAUGCGAGCGAGUCCCUCUCUGUGGGUUGUGGGUCCUGCGAGAUUCGAGUCCUGUGCGUCCGUCCUGCCUUGCGGCGAAAUAAAGGCGAGUGGCCCCGCUGCGCAACACAACUGCUUCCUGCAGCAGUUGCUGCACGCUGCACUUACGGUUAGACGCAAGGACACACCGUCCGCUGUCCGUUUCGGCCCGCUAUCUGACCAUCUACAGCUGUUUUCGGCUGCCCAAAACAAUGCGGCCAUAAUGCAGCAAAACUCUCAAUUUAAUUAGACCGUCAAUUGUGCAAGCCCUCGAAAGUAGGGAGAAAUAUGGGCAUAUUUGACAUAGGGAUGUCCUAGGUAGAUGGGCGUCCGGGGGUUCGCCAGUUGGGAGUACCUGGCCCACUGGCCAGAGAUUUC
ensembl:ncRNA lncRNA:CR45608 long non-coding RNA:CR45608